rnacentral:lncRNA from 1 species
CCCAAAGCAGCUUUAUCUACUCUGUAAGCAGAUCCACACCAGAAUUUAGGUUGUGCUGAGUCAGGGCUGCUGGUAGGGUGUGGAUGUGGAGUAAUUACAGCCAAUGAGCUCCAGGGAAUUGAUUAGUGUGUUAUCCCAAAGAACCUGUGGAGCAUGGUUUUAGCUUCAGCUGGCUGUGUAAAUGCUUUUACUGUGUGCUAGUCUGUAUUCUCUUAGAAUACUUCCUCCAGCUCUUUGGGCUACCCUGAGCUUCAGUGCUGUCAAGAGAUGGCAUCAGGAAGGUGUCACUGUUUUGCCUACUUGGCAUAUGCCUACAUUUGAAAGGGCAGAAUGUUGGAAGGUCUGCUUCUUUUCCCUGGACACUGUAAACUCCUUGGAUGGCAAGGCUGAGGUGGAACCAUAAUGAAGAACAAAGUCUAGAUCACUUCACCUGCAACUGCUGAAGGUGAAUGCCUGGAGAUGCAGAAUCAGCAGGUUAGUGAGUGUGAUGCUGGUGAAAAGAAGCAGGGGAAGAAAUUGGAUUGGUGGUGUGGCCAUCAGAGACGGCAAGAAGUGAAGUGUGGUGGUGUGGUCCAGAACACCAGGCUGCUGGGGUUACUACUCUGACUACUGUUUUGCUGCCUUCAAAUGAGCAAUGCCUGCACGUAUUUGGAAUGGCAUGAUCUGGGCAGGCAGUAACCCAAGGGCUGCCUAUGUAGAAGACAGAGCAGGGAAAGGAAAUAUGAGGAAACACACACACACACACACACACAAUGAGACCAUGAGCAUCAUGAAUUCCUGGGGCCCAGAAACUGUCAGAGUGAACUGAGUUGUACCAAGCUGUAAGAGCUGACAGAGAGAUGGGGACUUCAGAAGGCUUUUCUUUCUAAUGCUGUUUAUUCCAUAGCUUAGGUUACAGCAGGGGGUCGUGGGUUGGCCUACAGCUGCUGGCUAUAGGCAAGCCAUGUGUCCUGAAGCCCCUGUGGUUCAGGUUACAAUGCAUUAUAUAUAUAUGUGUGUGUGUUGUUAAUAAUGCAACUGAUAACUUGGUUUUCAAAUUGUAAAUUUAAACAUAUUAAACCCUUGUACUUAGUGUGGCUAUAUUGUAGGCAAUUUUAAUGGUUAUUCAAAAGCUAUUAGGAUGAGUCUCAGCUUCUGAAAUUUGUUAUGCAAAUAUGCCAUGCAGUUUUCAAAAUAACAAUGUGUGUACCAGAUUUCUGCAUUCUCAUGUAGGUGAGCUGAAGAAAGAUUGCCAAGAUACUGGUGCCAAUAGUUAUUCUAGCUCUGUAGUCUGAAAAUAAAUCACCAGUUUUAUCAGCA